rnacentral:sRNA from 1 species
GUGUGUGUGUGUGUAUUACCAUUGUCCAAUAUUUAUUUUAUUAUUUAUUUUUAAGAAACUUUUAUUUUUGAAAAUCUCACACAUGUAUACCAAGUAUCUUAAUCUCACCCCAACUCUUUCCCCAGAAUAUUUUAUUUUUUAUUUCUUUCCCAAGGCUAACCCUUCUGUUCACUGUCCUCAGAAGAGCACUUUAGCUGCAUAUCUCCCUCUGUCUCAUGAUUUGAUGAGCCUUAAAGGUUUUCUCCAGUGCAUACCAUUUCAUUUUACACAGGGUUUUGUUAGGGUUUUUUUUAAGUUUCUAGACAUGUACCUCUAAAUUUUUUCAUAUUAUUGGUCUCACAUUAUUGCUUAUAGUCAGAGGCAUUUGAUCUCUUCAGAUCAAAUACAUCAUUUACAUAGAAAUGAUUCUUUCAUAGAUUUGACUCUUUGGGAUUUAUCAUGGCUUCCCCUCUGUUAUGUAGCAAUGUGUAUAAAUGCUUCAGAUGUGCAUGAGAAAGAAGUACACUUUCUUUCCAAGAUAACGGAUGCUAAUAGGUAAGCUGAAUCCAUGGAUGGUGGCACGCACCUGUAGUCCAGCACAAGCUGCGGAGGCAGGAGGAUUAUCAUCCUACUCUACACAGUGAGUUCCAGGUCAGCCAUGGCUAUACAGAGUCUGUCUCAAAAACCAGCCAACAAACAAAAGUGCUGUGUUCAUGGGCUCGAGUUCUUAAUGCUGUCAUUGAAGUCUUCCUUAUAUUGUUUUCUUCUUUGAAUGAAAGUUGACCUUUGAGACUUAAAAUCUCAUAAUCUAAGAGUUUACUGUCAGAGAAAACAUUGGCUGUGGGCUGAGCAGUGGAGGAGGAAGUUGAAUUAUUUUCUGUUGGUUUUUAUCCUCUUAAUCCAAUUUGAGUCUGCAACACUGAGAGCUCACCAAGUCGAGGUAUGUGUUCUAUGGUUUUUGUUUUGGAAGGAGGAGAUUUGAAGGAGAUGGACUGAAUGUCUCCAUGGGGGGUGUUUAAGUGGAUAUAUAUAAUAUGUUGUGUGUGUGUGUGUGUGUGUGUGUGUGUGUGUGUGUGUGUGUGUGGCAAUCAGAGGACAGUUUGGGAAGUCUUCUGUCUGCCUUCCAUUUCACUUUAGGAAUGCAGGAUUACAGAUGUGUCUUAUUCAUGGAGGUUCUAGGGUUUGAACUCUGGUCAUCAGGCUUCAGAGACAAGCACUUUUAUUUGGCUUAUCCAUCUCACUGGCUCCGCCAAGAAAGUGUUCACAAGUUGCUUGGAUGUAAAACUUGUGACUAACGCACAGUCCAGCGAGAGACAGUAAUACAUAGGUAUGUGUGAGCAUAUGUAUAGGGAAGUUUGUGUGCCUUCCAUGAGCUAGAACAGGCGGGCACCACACAGCACUGCAUGGAGACGCCAGCAGACAGUUGAGGAAAGGGGAGAGAACCCCUCAUGUCACCUCUGAAGCCUUGAAGGGUAAGAAAGCUCUAGACUGUGGGUGGCUGGAAUGGGUAGUUCAUCGUCCAUCUAAUUUGCUCUUUGCUUUUGUGUUUACUAAUCUCAAAUUCACCAGAGAGGCAGAUGUAUGUGCCAUCCACAUCAGCAGGUGGCUGUGCCUGAAGCUCGUUUUGUUUUUUUAAUGCCCAGAAAUACUCCUGAGACUCAUACACAGAUUUUGAGAGUUUGACUUGGUCAAAGAAGAAACCAUGUAAUCAAGCAGGAGGAAGGCCCAGGGCCAUUGUCUUGUGGCUCUUACAGGUUAAUAUGGUUUAAUGGAAGUUGGUGGUUCUUUAAAUGUUAUCUCCAUGUCGUAUGUAUUUAGAAUAAAUGUAUAUACCCAUAUAAUUUCUUCAUGGUUGUGUGCAGGUGCAUUAACCUGCAUUGGCUAUUGGACAGCACACCAGUCACAUAGUAUAACAAUGAAACAAAGUGGUAACAAUCCACGGCCUGAAAGAAGGAACGCUUUGGAAGAUGCUAGGUAUUCACCCACGAGCUCUGUCUUAUCAGGCUCCAUUUGCUUAACAGGGAAGUAUCCAAACAUUUAAGUAUGCAAAUGCGUACAGCCAAAUGAGACAUCAUUUAAUUCUUUUAUUGUCUUACAGUGAAAGAGAGCAAAUGAGCAAGUGGAUGGUUUCCUGCCAAUUACUUUCAGUUCGUUGUCUUUUAUGCUAAGAGACUCUGCAAACACUGCUCUGCAUCCAGCAGACGCCUGGUCACACUGAGGCAUCGAGCACGGACCCCUCCCUUCAGCAAACCCCAGUGCUCUGUAAGGAAACGAUCUGGGGACAUCCCUUCAAAUUCAGAGAGCUGCUGUUCUUGAGGUGAACCCAUGACAUAUCCAGCCCAUUUAAAAGUGCUUUUCCCAUACUAGAGGAGGGAGGGUUAAGUAUCAAUUUCCUGAGUUUGAAGCUCUUCAAGAAUUAAUGAUCUUCAUUUCUUUUCUUUUACCGAAAGCACAGUACUGCUUAAAACCAUGAGCAAAAUGCUGACCUAGACAAGGGGUUCCGGAAGCUGGGGCCUCAGCACAGGGUUAUCCUUGCAAGCAGUCACUUAAACAAUAUUCUCAGCUCCACAGAGACCAGAAAUCCCUUUCUGUAGAUGAAGUUGACUCUGUGCUGCCAGACCCUUCACUGCUCACCCCAUUCCAGUGGUACCAUUACCAUCACUUGUUUGGUGCUGUUUCUGCUGAAUUAUUUGGAGCCCACCUUCCUGCUUUAGCUUUGAAUUCUCACCAGAGAGAACCAUGCCAGGGCCGAUUUGGAUAACGGGAUCAUUAGCAACCAAACAGAUGAUGCCUCUCUCUCUCUCUCUAACAGAGACUCGCUCAGCUGCAGAGAGCCCUUCAAUUCCAGCAGAGAGGGCAGACUGUCAUCUGAGCUCGGCCCAUCCUGCUGUCUGCACUCUCCAGAGAGUGUGCUUCAUCCUGAUAAACAGGCUGUGAGCCGAGCACGUGACUGGACGUGACUGAACUUCUUAAGGUAAACGGAAGACACAGAGGUGCUCCUCCCACACUGGUACAGCAGAAUUAGUUAGGCAGGACCAUCCUUUCAAUGGGGAUGAUGCUUUUCCAAAAGACAGGCUUUCAGACUGACUGUCUGAAGUGAGAUAGAGGAUACUUAUUUUUAUCAUUGUGUAGCACGAGGCCUUUCAGGUUGCCUUGGCUGUUGUCAUUUAUCCGCCAGGCACCUCUCUUGGGAUUCAGUAUCAUCUAGAAGCUGUCUCCUGAAUAAUAGGCUACCUGCUAGGAACUGCAGAUAUUGCUAGAUACUGUCUGCUGGUUACUUCCUCACAGCUCUGACCACAUGUCAGCCUAUCCCAGCUUCCUCAAGAUCUCAGCAUGAUAAAUCAAGAAAGGCCUUGAAGUCUGGACCCUUCCAGUAACUGCUAGAAGUUCCACUGAGGGGGUUACUACCCCACCUAAGGAACUACUCUGGGCUGCCAGCUCCCCUUCAGUGUCUCAGUGGUAAGAGCAUUAGUGAAGUAGAUUGACAGCUCAGCAGAGCAAAUGCUGCCCCAGCCGCAAUGGGGAGAGGUGGGGUCACAGCCUCUGCAGAGCUACCCACACUCAAAACUCAACUCCCUGCUCUCUCUCUUUCUGGGCAGCAGCUUUUCUCUUGGACCACUUGCCUCAUUCCCGUUUCUUGAUUCUUCUUAGGAUGUAGUGUUUAUCACUUUAGUCUUCUCAAUCUUAAAACUGGAUUGUUCCUCAUAUGUGAUGUCUUGUGCAUCUUUGAUGUCAGAAACAUGGGAACAAUAUAUGGUUCGUUAAGUUAGGGACUAGGAACAGGAGUGGACAUGUUUAUGCAGUUUCUCCUUUUAAGGGACUGUCUUGAGUGACGUUUCUCUUCUGGGUGCUGCUGGGAGACAGGGACAUCCGAGACGUGAGUCCUUUCUUUGAGGACUGACAAAGAGGAUGUGUUGACGUCACCAAAGGAGGAACCCUCCAGGAAAUGGCCAGAGAGAGUUCAGGUAGGGGGAACAACAAAUCAGUUGAGGGACUUGGUUGAUUUUUAUGGGGACAGGGGCAUCUGAACUCAUAAAGGGUUUGCUCUGUGGAGUGAGUGAUUUUACCAUUGUCAAAAGUUGAGAGUACUACUUUUCAUAAAUGGAUAGCACAAAAUGUUAGGAGUGUCAUUAGGAGCCAUUUCAGAUGUUGUUAAAACUAAAAUUUCUUUGUCAGUUUCUUUUAUGAAACUCAAUCCAGCAAUCAAUAACAACUGGUUUUAAAAUCAAGCAUUCCAACACAAUACACUCCAACAAUAUGCUGAUUUGAUGCUCACAUGGUAAGGAAUGAUGGGACGAAAGCAUGAAAUGUCUUUGUUUUCUAUAAUCAGACCGUUAUGUCUCUGGGAGAGGUGGGGGCCUUGUAUGUACAUUAAAAGCAUAACUGCUAACAUCCAGUAGCUCUGGCCUGAGCUGAGGUGAUUCAGGCAGUGGGCAUGUGUGGUAUUACAGUUCAGACUAGCACAUGGUGUGUUCAGAUCCGAGGCUAUAAUGAAUUCACACAAAGCAACAAGGACAGCUAGUUACACAGACACGCUGAUAUGUUACGUGUUUAAUUGGGAGUUAAUUGUUGAUGAUACAUGUAGUGAAACCUUUCAUUCCAGAUUGUCUUAGCCAUACAUUCAUUUACCCCCAUGAGGGGUCACAACCCACGGUUUAAGAGGAUGGACUUGAGGGUCCCAGUAUCAUGCUAUCUUUUAUUUUUUAUGUCUCAAGUUUUAGACAAAUCUACCUAUAUACACUUGGAAAAAUAAUAAUCAAAUGCUUUAGCAGAUAUAUAAUUUCACAUUGUUUAAUAUGGCACUCUGAAGGAGAACAAUAUGUCAAGAUCUGUCCACUUCAAUAUCCUCACUUCCCAAACACUCUUUACUCCUGUUACCCAACCAUGACGUUGAAAAUAGAAACGAGACCCAAACAGUAAGCAUUUGAGUGCAUAGUGAAGGUUUCCCCAGCCAAUCUGAGUAAACAUUGGGAGGCGGUGAGCCUGAGGCUUGCUGAGCUAGAAACCUUGUCUCCAACCUGCAUGCCCUGGCUCCCUCUAGUGUCCUUGGCUCAGCCCUUUUUUUUUCCUACAGAAUUGAAGUGUUCAAGAAUCUAUGCACUCUAUAGAAUGGAGGACUCACAGCCCACCUCAGCUGCUUCUUCCUAUUAGCACGCCACGCAACUCUUACGUGCUGCUUUACCCACAGCAACUGUGUGAACUUCUGUUGUCUUCAAUUAAGUCUUCUAUUCCAUUUGACUGCUACGUUCAUGUUAUCUCCCUCCCACCUCUCCCUCCCCCUAUCACAACCGUACCUUGAAAACGAGAACACGCAAUACAAGGCUGGCAGUAGGUAUCUAGCACUUUAAAGUUAGAAUCCAGAAAACUAGAGUUGGUAGGAGUUGUGGUACGGUUACCACCAUUCACAAGACAGGGAAGCCGGAAACGGUGCAGAGUUGUUGCUGUGCUAAGCCUGUGAGUAGCCAGUGAAAUUUAAAGGCACCUCACUAGAGGAGGCACAGAUGUCUGUAGGUUGGCCCAGGUCUCACCGACCUUUUGGUGGUGGGGUGGGGUAUAGAAAAGAGGACAAGAGCAUCAACCACCAAAGACAGAAAACCACAGUGAAGAUGAUAGUAACCGUCAGUGAGAGGGCGAUAUCAGUUCACAGCCCUGGCUGCUCUCAAGGAGCUGCUGACACUAAAGCUUGGCCUUACAAGAUGUGGCAGAUUAUGUGGGAGCAGAAAGGAAGUGUGGUGCCCUGAAAGUGUCUUCAGGAGAGGGCUUUGAAAGGAAGAAUUCUAGACAUUAUGACUAGACAGGUUAGGGUUGAAGUGUUAGAGGUCUCAGAUGCCAGCCAAUAAGUCCCCAUUCUUCUAAGCAGAAGCCUAAUUCAGCUUCUAGAACAUGUGUGGAAAGCCUUUAACAACUGGCUCAAUGCCUGGACUGGUAGAUCACUUACUUACCAUGUCCAAGGCCUUGGGUUUGAUCAUUAGAUCCAAGAGGAGAAUCUUUUAAAGGAGGGAGAAGUGAUGUAACAUGUCUGUAAUCCUAAUACUUGGGAAGUGAUGGCAGGAAGAUCAGGAAUUCAAGGUUGGUUUCUAGUUGGCUAGAAAGCCAGUUCAAGGCCAGCCUGGGCUACAUGAGAUCCUGUCUUCAAUAAAGAAAAAAGAAAGAAAUGAAAAAAAAACAAAGGAAAGGAAAGGAAAUACCCAGCAUUAUUAGAGUUUAAGGCAGAUGUGCAUUUAUUAGCUUUCUGUUUAUUUACAAAGAGAGCCAUAAGAAGUGGACUUGUGUGUGAUCUAGGUGUGUGCUAAGGUUAUCUCUGAUUAUAGUUAAGAUGUUUUAAAUAGGAAUUAGCCCAAGAUCACAGAGGUUUUAAAAAAACUUUUGUGCUUGAUAGGUGUCCAGUUAAUGCUUCUUCAAAAACCAAAUGGUGUGAACAGAGCUGUAGUGUAGAACGAGGAAAGUGUCAAUGGUUUUCUUGCUAUGUAUUGAUGUAGGUCAGAAGGGUUCUAAGGGGAAGGGUGAGGACAACAUUGCUCAGUGUCAAGGCCUGAGCAAGAUUAGUGGGAAAAAGUGUGGAGCCAAGUUCACUGCCUUCUAGUUGUUAUAUUCUGCCUCCGUGAACUGGAAAUUAUAUACGAACAGAAAAGGGUACAUCUAUUUUUAAGUUAUUGUACUUUUAUUUCUCUCUCUCUCUCUCCCCCCCUCUCUCUCUCCC